UUCCUGUCGAGGGUCUUUUUCUUCUUGUAGUCUACACGGAAACAAUGUGUUGCAUCGUAACCUCGUGAAAAAAUAGUAGUGUAUCUGUGUUCCAGCUGCUGGAGCAGUGAAAGGGUUAAUGCUGAUGAAUAUGGAUAACACCAAAGGAACGGUCCUGUUGGCACAGUCAGCUGAACUCUGGUCAGCAAAUGUAUGCUGUUGAUGCAGUGAUUUGAUUGAAUUCAAAAUGUGAUUCUUGCUAGUGAGAAGCUGCUGGAGCAGAGAAAGGGCAUGAUGAACCACAUGUUGUGUAGAUAACACCAAAGGAAUGGUCCUGUCGGUACAGUCAGCUGAACUGUGGUCAGGAAACACAGACACGUGAAUGCAGAAUUCCUUUUAUUCAGCAAAUGUAUGGUGUUGAUGCAGUGAUUUGAUUGAAUUCAAAAUGUCAUUCUUGCUAGUGAGAAGGUACUGUCCAAUGGGUAGUUGUGAUGAAUUGCACUUCUCCCUGGGAUCACACUUGGAGUUUGACAAUCACCUUUCUGGAGGCCUUGUAAAUGAUCUGUUAUGUGGAUGGGCAUUGAUUGCUGCAGUGCAGCAAUUUAAAGCGUUAAUCAUCUUGCCAAUAAAAAAUGAAAUACAAA